AAAUGCAUAGAUAUCACGAGGAACUCCGAUUGCGAAGGGCAGCUUGCCAUACUGCGACUGACACUGAAGCACGAAGGCGUGGGUAUCAAACAGGAUUAGAUACCCUGGUAGUCCACGCAGUAAACGAUGAUUACUAGGAGUUUGCGAUAUACCGUCAAGCUUCCACAGCGAAAGCGUUAAGUAAUCCACCUGGGGAGUACGCCGGCAACGGUGAAACUCAAAGGAAUUGACGGGGGCCCGCACAAGCGGAGGAACAUGUGGUUUAAUUCGAUGAUACGCGAGGAACCUUACCCGGGAUUGAAAUGUAGAUGACGGAUGGUGAAAACCGUCUUCCCUUCGGGGCGUCUAUGUAGGUGCUGCAUGGUUGUCGUCAGCUCGUGCCGUGAGGUGUCAGCUUAAGUGCCAUAACGAGCGCAACCCACAUCGGUAGUUGUUAACAGUUUUCGCUGAGGACUCUACCGAGACUGCCGUCGUAAGGCGCGAGGAAGGUGUGGAUGACGUCAAAUCAGCACGGCCCUUACAUCCGGGGCGACACACGUGUUACAAUGGGAGGGACAAAGGGCAGCUACCGGGCGACCGGAUGCGAAUCUCUAAACCCUUCCCCAGUUCGGAUCGGAGUCUACAACUCGACUCCGUGAAGCUGGAUUCGCUAGUAAUCGCGCAUCAGCCAUGGCGCGGUGAAUACGUUCCCGGGCCUUGUACACACCGCCCGUCAAGCCAUGGGAGUCGGGGGUACGUGAAGGGCGUAACCGCAAGGGGCGCACUAGGGUAAUACCGGUGACUGGGGUAAGUCGUAACAAGGUAGCCG
rnacentral:rRNA from 1 species